UGGCUCAGUAACACGUGGAGAAUCUAACCUUUGGUGGAGGAUAAUCUCGGGAAACUGAGAAUAAUACUCCAUAAACAUAGGAUGCUGGAAUGCUUCUAUGUUGAAAGGCAACGCCAAAGGAUGACUCUGCGACCUAUCAGGCUGUAGUGAGUGUAAUGGACUCACUAACCUGCAACGGGUACGGGUGUUGGAAGACAUUGCCCGGAGAUGGACUCUGAGACAUGAGUCCAGGUUCUACGGAACGCAGCAGGCGCGAAAACUCCGCAAUGUACGAAAGUACGACGGGGGAAUUCUGAGUGCUUACGCCUUGCGUAGGCUGUUUUCUUGUCUAAAAAACAAGGAGAGUAAGGGCUGGGUAAGACGGGUGCCAUCUCGUGCAAUUCUGCACUUAUUGUGUUCGUUGCACGAAGCACAAGCCGCCGCGGUAAUACCCGCGGCCCGAGUGGUGCUCAUUAUUAUUGAGCCUAAAACGUCCGUAGCCGGUUUAAUAAAUUCUUGGGUAAAUCAUAUCGCUUAACGAUAUGAAUUCUGAGAACACUGCUAAACUCGGGAAUGGGAGAGGCCAGAGGUACUUUCAGGGUAGGGGUAAAAUCCCGUAAUCCUGAGAGGACCACCGGUGGCGAAGGCGUCUGGCUAGAACAUAUUCGACGGUAAGGGACGAAGCCCUGGGGCGCAAACGGGAUUAGAUACCCCGGUAGUCCAGGGUGUAAACGCUGUAGAUUUGGUGUUGGAAAUCCUACGGGGAUUCCCAGUGCCGGAGAGAAGUUGUUAAAUCUACUGCUUGGGGAGUACGGUCGCAAGACUGAAACUUAAAGGAAUUGGCGGGGGAGCACCGCAACGGGUGGAGCGUGCGGUUUAAUUGGAUUCAACGCCGAGAAACUCACCGGGGGCGACCAUUAUAUGAAGGCCAAGCCAAUGACUUUGCCUAAUUUUUGGAGAGGUGGUGCAUGGCCGUCGUCAGUUCGUACUGUAGAGCGUUCUGUUAAGUCAGAUAACGAACGAGACCCCUGUUCACUAUUGCUACUUUCUCCUCUGGGAGAAAAGCACAUUGUGGAGACCGCUGGCGCUAAGUCAGAGGAAGGAAGGGGCUACGGUAGGUCAGUAUGCCCUGAAUCUCCCGGGCUACACGCGCGCUACAAAGGAUAGGACAAUUGGAUACAAUACACGAGAGGUAAAGUUAACCCCGAAACCUAUUCAUAGUUCAGAUUGAGGACUGCAACUCGUCCUCAUGAAGCUGGAAUCCGUAGUAAUCGCGGGUCAAAAUCCCGCGGUGAAUAUGCCCCUGCUCCUUGCACACACCGCCCGUCAAACCAUCCGAGUUGGGUUUGAGUGAGGGUUUUCUUAUUGGAAGAUUCAAACUCAUAUUCAGCAAGGAGGGUUAAGUCGUAACAAGGUA
rnacentral:rRNA from 1 species